UUCUGGAAUUCUAGGGCAUGGCACCAGCAUCAGGUUGACUCUGCUAUUGCUUUUAUGCUGAGGAUGUCAUUUUACAACUGAAUACACGUCUACUGGGCCCAUCUUCUCAAGACCAUCCACAUGAAGCCUCUUCUGGAAAUGCAGAUGUCCUGGACACAGACAGCAAA